UCUAAAUUUAUAAAGAACGCCUGCAGAACAGAAGUUUGGCAGCACUACCCUGCAAUGUAAGCAGCCUUUUUUUCCUUUUUUAAGACUUGCGAGAGACAGUCAAUUUCGGGGACCGAGACCGGUCUCCUCCUCCCUGGCUCCUCUCGUCCCGCCCCUUGGCCACGCCCACUUCGACCCUUUUACUCCGGUACCUCCCCUUCUCCUUCGGUUGCUGCAAAACCCGGAAAGGUGGACCUUACACACGAACGCUCCUGGUGGCUCGUGCAGCCAGACUGGGCAUGUUCCGCCGCCGGGUCAGGGAUUGCUGUCAAGGAGAGAGGAGGCUUUCAACGACUCCCAGUUUCUCUUCUCCUUCUCUCUAUCCCUGGCAAACAAAACAAAGUAGCGCUUGCGACCUCCUGCCCCGAGCGCAGACCUGCAGAAGUGGGUCAGGACGGGACUGAGCAUGCUCGGGGCAGUGCCAGGCUGCCGCACGCGGCUGCAUCUCGUUGCCCAAGGUUGAUGGAGCUGCACUCGCUCAUCACGACAUCGAAGGUAAAACUCCAGAGGAUGAAGGCCCCGUCUCAUGGUCUUGCAGCCUGUGCAUGAGGAUCUUAUCCUUCCUAUAGUAGGCCUGGUGUUCCAGGGGGGCCCGUGUAGCUGGACCUCCACAUGCUGACUUACUCAGGGGUGAGGAUACAGCCAGAAGGCAGCCUCCUGCAAGCCAGGAAGAGAGCUCUCACCAGAACCCAGCCAUGCUGGCACCCUGAUCUUUGACUUCCCAGCCUGUAGAACUAAGUUCUGUCACCUUUAGAGAUUACACAAGCACAAGAUAGAAACACAGAAAAGAAAAAAAUGUUUUCCACCAAGUGAGUUUUCCUGCAGAGGGAGUUAUAUUGUCAGGGAGCCUGCCUCAGGGACAAGUGGUCAGCAGAUAAUGAGUGACAAAUGAGAACUUUUCCCCUCCUUUUCUCUGCCAUUUACACUGAUCAGUUUACCUUUGAUGAUCUGCUAUAUGUAAAGGGUAAUGUUGUGGCAGAUGAAGCGUUUCAGAGUUUGAAAGCACAUGUCGUUCAAGCACAAGCAAGCAGCAUUUCCACCACGCAUCUGAGACCUUACAAUUCCAUAAAAGUAGACUUUAUGGAAGGUGCAACUGUCCACACAGUUUGUAAUAUACAUGUUGGCCAGGUCGUUUUGUUUUGUCACCUCAAGUCCUUUUUGGAAAUAGGGGUGUCAAGUAAGUAAGUUACCAAAUAAACAAAGAGAUAUGGGUGGUUUUUCAGAUCAGCAUAGUACUGUCACUGAAGAUGGAGAGUCGUGGUUGUGAGGAUCAGGGUCAGGAACAUUCUGGAUCAUCUUUCAGGUUGGCGGUCAGAGCUGAAAGCCCAGUUCUGUCACACAAGGUGGUCCGUAUGCCAACUGAUGCACUGUUUGGCUAAGAACAAGAAGAGACUCAAGGAAGACAGUGUGAAUACCUAGAGUCGGGCUGAUGUUCCAGAUCAGCUGAUGACUGACAGAGCAGUGGUGCAACGAGCCCUCCACGUGAGGUGGAUCCUGGAGAGGAGCUUCAUCUGGCCCCUUUUGCUGUUUCACGGGCCUCCACCAGCAGCCACACUUCAUUUUAAAUUGGCAAAAGAGGAUUUACCCAGGGUCCUUGAAUUUAUACAGCCUCUGCAUGAAACAGUUUUUUCCUCCUCAUCUGCAAUUCUAAUGGACUGACUACAUCUGAAUACUUAUGUUGGAUUUCACUGUAUGUGUUUAUACAUACAGAAUAUUGAGAUGACGGUAGUGAAUUUUGGUUGAUGGAUGUUAAGUUUGCUAGGGUUGCCUUCACACAAACUGAGUGGCUUAAACAGAAACUUAUCUCGUAGUUCUGGAGGCUAGAAGUCCAACAUCAAAGUGUCAGCAGGGCCAUUCUCCCUCUGAAGGCACUAGGGAAGCAUCCGAUCCAGGCUUCUCUCCUGGCUUCUGGCAGUUACCUGGCUUGUGACAGCGUAACUCCAGGCUUCACGUGGCAUUCUCCCUGUGUGCGGGUCUGUAUCUAAAUUUCCUCUUUUUAUAAGGACAUUAGCCAUAUUGGGUUAGUGGCCCUAGGACCGUACUCCAGUGUAACCUCAUCUUAACUAAUUACACGUACAAUAACCCUAUUUCCACAUGAGGUCAAGUUCCACAUGAGGUCACUUAAACAUAUGAAUUUGGGGGUAACACAAUUCAGCCUAUAUCAGUGUAAUUGGCAUGAAGAAAAUCAAGUUAUGGAGGGUUAGCACCAGUAGGGUCCUGGAAGAUCUUUGGGUGCAACCUUAUUAUUUUGCAUAUGAGCUCAGUGGACAGUAAAAAUGUAUUAUUUUAAAAAUUAAAUUAGGUAAAGCUUCCUCCAAAUGUUCCAUAAUAAUUAAAGCUCCUUUAUGUUUUCUUCUCUCUCUCUCCCACCUGAAAUGGCCCCUGUCUUCUUUCUCUCUCUGAAUCCCCCUCAUCAUCCCAGCUCCAGCUCACCUUCAUCACCGUUAGGAGAUCUUCCUUAGCUGCUCUCACUGGCGGAGACCUUGCCCAACUCUGCACCUGUAUUCUGCACCACCAACCUUUAGGAACUUGGUCCAUUCUGUCUCCUGAUUUUUUCUAAGUGACAUUUGAAAUGUAUACACCAUCUUUUGUUAUUUAUCAUGCCAUGCAUUUACUAGACUCCUGGCACUUGGAGAUUAAAAAUUUUCUGGUUCUGUUAUUAAAAGGAUCUCUGAUACUUAGGCACAUGAAACUUUUCUGAGAUACAGGUUUUAUUCAUCUGAAUCUUGGAGAGUGGAUGUGUGCAUCUGGAGGUUGGGCUGUGGAGUGAGGUGGUAAUGAGUAACUGAGUUAUUGAGUGCCUCGCUGACCACUAGUUACCCCAAAAUCAAACUAGCUGCCAUUUUCCCCUUUGAUAAUGUAAGCCUUCUGUUGGGAAUGUAUGUGCAAUUAUGUAUUCAGAAAUUUUAGGAAGUUUCUAAAGACAUAAGAGUCUUUCUCACUUCUCUGUAACAAGGUCAUGUGCUCCCAAAAGGCAGGAACCCUCUCUUUCCUUCUUAGUGCCCAACCUGCUGUGGGGCAAGGCAUGCUUGUUAAUUUGUUACAGUAGGAAGUGAAGCCAGAGAUUGUCUGAAUGUAAGUAAAGUGAAUAAAGAAAAAUGUGUUAUCUUAGCAUAAUAGACUUAGCAAAUAUUUUGAGAGUAAACAUAAAUUUUCCAUCAUUAUCCGAUGGAGUUUGCCAUUUUAAUUUUGACUAGUAUAUGAAAUAUUUUGAAUAUUAUAAAAAUUGCAACCACAGAUUAACUUUUCUAAAAACUUGAAAGUAAAUGUAAUAUUUCUCUAGAAUGAAUGGAAACUUAAACAUUUUUAAGAAAUUAAGUGAGACUUACAGGACUAUACAAUGUAAAAUUAUAUGGAUCUCCCAUAAGAAGGCAAAAUAUAUUACGUGUCUUCAUGGGAAAAUCAAAAUUUAGAUAUAUUACUUUCCCCCAUUAUGACUUAGAAUGGUCUAUAUAUUAUACUUUAUAUCUAGUAUGCAGAAAUAUGUCUUGGUGAUGAAUUCACUUAAUACCUACAUGUAUUAUCUUGUAUUCUUAUAGUUGAAUGAAUAGUUUUAGUCAACAUUAGUCGUGAAAUUCUAGGUUAUGGAAUGAUUAAAUAAUAUUGUCUUCACAAUUCUUGCUAAC